rnacentral:tRNA from 1 species
GGGUCAGUGCCUGAGUGUGUCAAAAGGACCGGGCUGUAAACCCGGUGGCUUCGGCCUACGUUGGUUCGAAUCCAACCUGACCCACCA